CCGAGUUUUAUUACUCAAAACCCUGCGAACCUACCUUUUCAUGCUUCGGCGGCCGGCCCUCGGGGGGGCGUCAAACGGUCGCCGACAGUAUUUUAAAAUCUUUACAGUGUAUUCUGAGUCACUAAAAAAACAAAUCA
rnacentral:misc_RNA from 1 species